CAGAAAAUGGGGUACCCACUGGGCUGCGGUAAGAAGUCUGCUGUGUUAUAUCGAAUUGAACGUCAUUGGAGAGGAGGCCUAGAUGUCUUUCCAGACCCUAAGAGUGCCAGCAGGCAGAGAUGCCUAGCUCUCUCAUGUACAUGACUUGCUUGCCCCCAUGACUAUAUCCAGUGCCCCACCAGCAGAGCGGGACAAUCACCUCCCUACCUGUGCAGAAUGAAGGAUAAAGAAAAAUAAUACCCAGAAAAGAAACGGCAUUUUCUACCUUUCAUGAAGAUAAAACUAACCUAAAUCAGGACUCACUGGGUCCUGUGAAACUCCUAAUGCUUGAGACACAGAUGAAUGGGAAGCCAUUGCAAAGACACAACGGCUUACAUCCUGUUUCCACACCUCAGAGUAAUCGCCAUGGCAUAACAGUGCUUGCUACGCGAAGGGCAUGUGAAAACAGCAUGAAGAGAAAUGAACAUAAUGUUUUGGGCCAUAUCUUUACAGUAAAACAUUUUCAAUGGAAAGUGGGGUCAACAGAAGGGAAGAAAUUUCUAUUUUCUUUCUUCAAGUUAUUUAGAUAAAUUGAAAUUAGUUUGACUUCUUUAUGGGCUAUUCUUUAAUUUAAAUUGUCCAAGAAGUUAGGUAGCCAACCACUAGUAACAUGAGUCCCAAGUUAUUCAAAGAUCCUUUUGUAAACCGAACUCUCUAGAGCCCAGUGGGUUGUAUGACUGAAUAGUAACUAUCCACGGCCACCUUAUUUUUGUGCUAUUGCAAUGUGAAGAACACCCAUGCUAUUAUUAUUCCCAAACUCUUCCAGAACUGUAUAAAGAAAUAUAAUCCUUUGGAGUUCAAGUUCAGUGGCCAGUUCCGGUAACAAAAUCGUAGACUACCACAUCCUCAAUUACUAUGAUUAAACACAGUAAUUUAAAUAACAGAGGAGAAAAGUAUAUUGAAUCUGCAGCCCAGUCCCUGUAAAUCUCUCUACUUCAAAGUACUAGUCCCUGCAGUCUUAUACAGCAUAAUAGUAACACAUGCUUUGCCACACUCACAGACUCUCAAGAGAAUAAAAAGAGAUGGUACUAGCACUUGCAAGCCAAACAUUCUUCACUCCAUCUCAGAGAGAAAUCUAAAAUCUCAAGUACAUGGUACAAAGAGGAGAGAUUUAAAAAAAAAAAAAAAGUGGAAAAUAGUAGAAAAACCACUGGCUUCAGACCCAAACCAAACUGUAUAAAUUCUGACGUUAUUGCCAUUUUAUUCUUAAGAAAUGUGUUUAGACUUCCUGAGUUUAUAUAAUGGGGAUCACACAAUCAAUUCUGUAGGAUUAUCGUAGGGGUUAAAGGAGAUGCCAAAGAGAUAUAAAAGAUUUAGUGUCGAUUCUUCCAUUAGAAGGUUCUCAAUAUGUGGCAACUAAAAUUACACAGAAUAUUCGAGGAAAGAAAUAAUGUCUCAAUCACGUAAACAUACAACUGAUGGGUAUUUUGCAGAAUGAACUGGAGGCUCUUUCUCAGCAACUUUAAAGAAAAGGUAUAUUUAAAGUGACGGAACAAUUGCAGAUAUAGAGUCUGAGAAUUUUCAUUGAGUAAUAGCAGUCAGGGCAGGCAAGUACAGCUUCGGAAGCAUGAGGAACACAGAAAAGAAUUAAAAGAAUCUAUACAGCAGAAGAGCAAAAGAAUUCUGAACAACAC